CCAAAUACCAAGGCGAUCGAGUGAACCAUGGUUAAGGAACUCGGCAAAAUGCCCCCGUAACUUCGGGAGAAGGGGGGCCGGAUGCGUUACCUCACUUGCUGGGGGAAGCGUUGAUGGCCGCAGAGACCAGGCCCAAGCGACUGUUUACUAAAAACACAGGUCCGUGCGAAGAAGUAAUUCGAUGUAUACGGACUGACGCCUGCCCGGUGCUGGAACGUUAAGGGGACAGGUUAGCUGGUUUAGGCCGGCGAAGCUUUGAACUUAAGCGCCAGUAAACGGCGGUGGUAACUAUAACCAUCCUAAGGUAGCGAAAUUCCUUGUCGGGUAAGUUCCGACCUGCACGAAUGGCGUAACGACUUGGGCGCUGUCUCAACCAUGGACUCGGCGAAAUUGCAUUACGAGUAAAGAUGCUCGUUACGCGCAGCAGGACGGAAAGACCCCGGGACCUUUACUACAACUUGGUAUUGGUGGUCGGUACAACUUGUGUAGGAUAGGUGGGAGACUGUGAAAUCCGGACGCCAGUUCGGGUGGAGUCAUCGUUGAAAUACCACUCUGGUUGUUCUGGCUGUCUAACUUCGGUCCAUUAUCUGGAUCAGGGACAGUGCCUGGUGGGUAGUUUGACUGGGGCGGUCGCCUCCUAAAAGGUAACGGAGGCGCUCAAAGGUUCCCUCAGCCUGGUUGGCAAUCAGGUGUCGAGUGUAAGUGCACAAGGGAGCUUGACUGUGAGACAGACAUGUCGAGCAGGGACGAAAGUCGGAACUAGUGAUCCGGCGGUGGCAUGUGGGAGCACCGUCGCUCAACGGAUAAAAGGUACCCCGGGGAUAACAGGCUGAUCUUCCCCAAGAGUCCAUAUCGACGGGAUGGUUUGGCACCUCGAUGUCGGCUCGUCGCAUCCUGGGGCUGGAGUAGGUCCCAAGGGUUGGGCUGUUCGCCCAUUAAAGCGGCACGCGAGCUGGGUUUAGAACGUCGAGAGACAGUUCGGUCCCUAUCCGCUGCGCGCGCAGGAGACUUGAGAAGGGCUGCCCCUAGUACGAGAGGACCGGGGUGGACGAACCUCUGGUGUGCCAGUUGUUCCGCCAGGAGCACGGCUGGUUGGCUACGUUCGGGAGUGAUAACCGCUGAAAGCAUCUAAGCGGGAAGCACGCUUCAAGAUGAGGUCUCCCACCGAGUUAAUCGGGUAAGGCCCCCAGUAGACCACUGGGUUGAUAGGCCAGAGGUGGAAGCGCCGUAAGGUGUGGAGCUGACUGGUACUAAUAGGCCGAGGGCUUGUCCCA
rnacentral:rRNA from 1 species